rnacentral:rRNA from 1 species
AGAGUUCGAUUCUGGCUCAGGAUGAACGCUGGCGGCGUGCCUAACACAUGCAAGUCGAGCGAUUCUCUUCGGAGAAGAGCGGCGGACGGGUGAGUAACGCGUGGGUAACCUGCCUCAUACACAUGGAUAACAUACCGAAAGGUAUGCUAAUACAGGAUAAUAUAAGAGAUUCACAUGAAUUUCUUAUCAAAGCUCCGGCGGUAUGAGAUGGACCCGCGUCUGAUUAGCUAGUUGGUAAGGUAAUGGCUUACCAAGGCGACGAUCAGUAGCCGACCUGAGAGGGUGAUCGGCCACAUUGGAACUGAGACACGGUCCAAACUCCUACGGGAGGCAGCAGUGGGGAAUAUUGCACAAUGGGCGAAAGCCUGAUGCAGCAACGCCGCGUGAGUGAUGAAGGCCUUCGGGUCGUAAAACUCUGUCCUCAAGGAAGAUAAUGACGGUACUUGAGGAGGAAGCCCCGGCUAACUACGUGCCAGCAGCCGC